rnacentral:rRNA from 1 species
UACAGAGGUCUCAAGCGUUGUCCGGAUUUAUUGGGCGUAAAGAGCUCGUAGGCGGCCACUCAAGUCGAAUGUGAAACCUCGAGGCUUAACCUCGAGCCUGCAUUCGAUACUGGGCGGCUAGAGUCUGGUAGGGGGAUCUGGAAUUCCUGGUGUAGCGGUGGAAUGCGCAGAUAUCAGGAGGAACACCGGUGGCGAAGGCGGGAUCCUGGGCCAGUACUGACGCUGAGGAGCGAAAGCGUGGGGAGCAAACAGG